rnacentral:lncRNA from 1 species
AGUAAGUAAAAGUUCAUCAGAUGAAGAAUAGAAGGUGUUUUCUAGGUGGAUGGAGGAAGAGAUAUUUACAAAGCCAGGAGGUGUGAGGGAACCUCACAUUCAGGGGAAAUGCAAGAAUAUAUGGAGGACAAGAAGAUGGAAAGAGAGGGCAGUCAGAAAAAUCAGCAAGACAGAGAAAUAACCAAGAGAAAUGAGCAAAGCCCGACUGUUGUUCCUACUUUGGCCAUUGGAGCUCUUUCCAGUUAGCUUCUCUUCCUUGGACAGCUUCCAUACGUUUUUGAGCACUUCCUUAUUUCUGACACCAGAAGAUGACUCAGGCUUGACUUGUAUUCUCCCCGUCCAACAAUGGAAUCUGCCAUUUCUCCAAGGAGCCCUGAUUCCUUUUAUUUGAGCGUGCAAUCAACACAGAAGACCUCUGUGACCAAAUGUGUGAGGACUUCUCCCCACCAAUAAGCAGGCAAGCCAUCAUCUCUACAGCAGCCACCAGCUGGGUGUCCUCCAACUCAAUUCUGACACUGUCUACCUGGAGAGAGAGUCAGAUCCCACAGGCAUCCUGGGAAUUCAAUAUUUUCUCCAAACUUUCUGAAGAUACUGAAUAUGCUUCUUGUCUCAGUGUCUUCUUCUCAGUUC